rnacentral:rRNA from 1 species
GUAGGGAAUCUUCCACAAUGGACGCAAGUCUGAUGGAGCAACGCCGCGUGAGUGAAGAAGGCUUUCGGGUCGUAAAACUCUGUUGUUGGAGAAGAAUGGUCGGCAGAGUAACUGUUGUCGGCGUGACGGUAUCCAACCAGAAAGCCACGGCUAACUACGUGCCAGCAGCCGCGGUAAUACGUAGGUGGCAAGCGUUAUCCGGAUUUAUUGGGCGUAAAGCGAGCGCAGGCGGUUUUUUAAGUCUGAUGUGAAAGCCCUCGGCUUAACCGAGGAAGUGCAUCGGAAACUGGGAAACUUGAGUGCAGAA